rnacentral:misc_RNA from 1 species
AAGUCGUAACAAGGUUUCCGUAGGUGAACCUGCGGAAGGAUCAUUAAAGAGACGAGCUCCGCGCUCCAGGGGUUCGCCCCCGCCUCUCAACCCUGUGUAAAUCAUACCUAUGUUGCUUUGGCGGGCCUUGAGGUCAUGCUCAUGCCGAGCGUCAGCCCGGCGAGUGCCCGCCGGAAGCCCCACCAAAAUUCGUUUAAUUUAUGCCGUCAGAGUCUAAACACAAAUAAAGCAAAA